GGGGAAUAUUGCACAAUGGAGGAAACUCUGAUGCAGCAACGCCGCGUGGAGGAUGACGCAUUUCGGUGUGUAAACUCCUUUUAUAAGGGAAGAUAAUGACGGUACCUUAUGAAUAAGCACCGGCUAACUCCGUGCCAGCAGCCGCGGUAAUACGGAGGGUGCAAGCGUUACUCGGAAUCACUGGGCGUAAAGGAUGCGUAGGCUGGAAAUCAAGUCGAGGGUGAAAUCCAACGGCUUAACCGUUGAACUGCUCUCGAAACUGGUUACCUAGAAUAUGGGAGAGGUAGGUGGAAUUGGUGGUGUAGGGGUAAAAUCCGUAGAUAUCACCAGGAAUACCGAUUGCGAAGGCGAUCUACUGGAACAUUAUUGACGCUGAGGCAUGAAAGCGUGGGGAGCAAAC
rnacentral:rRNA from 1 species